rnacentral:rRNA from 1 species
GUGGGGAAUAUCGGGCAAUGGGCGAAAGCCUGACCCAGCAACGCCGCGUGAAGGAAGAAGGUCUUCGGAUCGUAAACUUCUAUCCUUGGUGAAGAUAAUGACGGUAGCCGAGAAGGAAGCCCCGGCUAACUACGUGCCAGCAGCCGCGGUAAUACGUAGGGGGCAAGCGUUGUCCGGAAUGAUUGGGCGUAAAGGGCGCGUAGGCGGCCUGGUAAGUCUGGAGUGAAAGUCCUGCUUUUAAGGUGGGAAUUGCUUUGGAUACUGUCGGGCUUGAGUGCAGGAGAGGUAAGUGGAAUUCCCGGUGUAGCGGUGAAAUGCGUAGAGAUCGGGAGGAACACCAGUGGCGAAGGCGACUUACUGGACUGUAACUGACGCUGAGGCGCGAAAGCGUGGGGAGCAAACAGGAUUAGAAACCCUAGUAGUCC